AGGGGCAAGCAGCAGUACUAGCAGGAGGAGGUGGUCCAGCCAGUCCAGCCGCACUCACCUUUUUUACCACUCUCUGACGCUGUUGCCCGACGUCAUGAUCCAACAAAAAACAGAAGAAGGGACCCACUGCUGCCGGAGAAGAAAGGGGACCCGCUUUUCCUGUCACUGAUGAGAAGGGGGACCCACUACUGCCCGAGCGCUACAUGCGCCUCUAUCUGGUUUCCAUGGUGAUGGUUUCAUGCACGUAAUAUGCUAAUGGCACUAUGACAUCAUUCCCGCAGCCCCCGCCCGGAUGUUCGGGCGUGGAUCAGCUGAGGGAUUUCACGCGGGUGGUUUAAAAAGGUAUGUUUUAUGUGUUUUAUUCAAUAAAGUCUGACGACAGUGGCAAGUCCACUGAAACGUUACAAAAUA